rnacentral:rRNA from 1 species
UACGUAGGGGGCAAGCGUUGUCCGGAUUCAUUGGGCGUAAAGAGCGUGUAGGCGGCCAGGUAGGUCGGUCGUGAAAACUGGAGGCUCAACCUUCAGAGGUCGACCGAAACCAUCUGGCUAGAGUCCGGGAGAGGAGAGUGGAAUUCCUGGUGUAGCGGUGAAAUGCGCAGAUAUCAGGAAGAACACCCGUGGCGAAAGCGGCUCUCUGGAACGGUACUGACGCUGAGACGCGAAAGCGUGGGUAGCAAACAGG